rnacentral:rRNA from 2 species
AACGUAGGAGGCUAGCGUUAUCCGGAUUUAUUGGGCGUAAAGCGCGUGCAGGCGGUUUGUCAAGUUGGAUGUGAAAGCUCCUGGCUUAACUGGGAGAGGUCGUUCAAAACUGACAGACUAGAGAAUGGGAGAGGGAGGUGGAAUUCCGGGUGUAGUGGUGAAAUGCGUAGAUAUCCGGAGGAACACCAGUGGCGAAAGCGGCCUCCUGGACCACUUCUGACGCUAAGACGCGAAAGCUAGGGUAGCAAACGGG